UACGUAGGGUGCGAGCGUUGUCCGGAAUUAUUGGGCGUAAAGAGCUCGUAGGCGGUUUGUCACGUCUGCUGUGAAAUCCCGAGGCUCAACCUCGGGCCUGCAGUGGGUACGGGCAGACUGGAGUGCGGUAGGGGAGAAUGGAAUUCCUGGUGUAGCGGUGGAAUGCGCAGAUAUCAGGAGGAACGCCGGUGGCGAAGGCGGAUCUCUGGGCCUUACCUGACGCUCAGGUGCGAAAGCUAGGGGAGCGAACAGG
rnacentral:rRNA from 1 species